GGGUCAGUAGGUUGGUCGUGCCACCGGUACGUACUGGUCUCACUGAUUCCUCCUUCCUGAAGAACCGUAAUGCCAUUAAUUUGGUGUUGCGGGGAAACAGGACUGUUACUUUGGAAAAAUUAGAGUGUUUAAAGCAAGCUAACGCUUGAAUACAUUAGCAUGGAAUAAUGAAAUAGGACGAUCGAUCCUAUUUUGUUGGUUUCUAGGAUUGACGCA
rnacentral:rRNA from 1 species